rnacentral:rRNA from 1 species
AUUGAACGCUGGCGGCAGGCCUAACACAUGCAAGUCGAACGAUUGGCGGACGGGUGAGUAAUGUCUGGGAAACUGCCUGAUGGAGGGGGAUAACUACUGGAAACGGUAGCUAAUACCGCAUACCAUCGGAUGUGCCCAGAUGGGAUUAGCUUGUAGGAGGGGUAAAGGCUCACCUAGGCGACGAUCCCUAGCUGGUUGGAGCGGAUGACCAGCCACACUGGAACGGAGAAACGGUCCAGAUUCCUACGGGAGGCAGCGGAGGGGAAUAUUGCACAAGGAGGGCAAGCCUGAUGCAGCCAGGCCGCGUGUAUGAAGAAGGCCUGCGGGUUUUAAAGUACUUUCAGCGGGGAGGCGUUACCCACAGAAGAAGCACCGGCUAACUACGUGCCAGCAGCCGCGGUAAUAC